rnacentral:misc_RNA from 1 species
GAUGAAGAACGUAGCGAAAUGCGAUAAGUAGUGUGAAUUGCAGAAUUCAGUGAAUCAUCGAAUCUUUGAACGCACAUUGCGCCCUUCGGUAUUCCGUUGGGCAUGCCUGUUCGAGCGUCAUUUAAACCUUCAAGCUAUGCUUGGUGUUGGGUGUUUGUUCCGCCUCAGCGUGUGGACUCGCCUCAAAUUCAUUGGCAGCCGGUAUGUUGGCUUCGUGCGCAGCACAUUGCAAGCGACUUCAGCAGACCCCCUCCCAUAAGCCCCUUUUUUUACUUUGACCUCGGAUCAGGUAGGGAUACCCGCUGAACUUAAGCAUAUCAAUAAGCGGAGGA